UCCUCCCUCUUUCUUCGUGCUUAACACAUGCAAGUCGAACGGAAAGGCCCUGCUUUUGUGGGGUGCUCGAGUGGCGAACGGGUGAGUAACACGUGAGUAACCUGCCCUUGACUUUGGGAUAACUUCAGGAAACUGGGGCUAAUACCGGAUAGGAGCUCCUGCUGCAUGGUGGGGGUUGGAAAGUUUCGGCGGUUGGGGAUGGACUCGCGGCUUAUCAGCUUGUUGGUGGGGUAGUGGCUUACCAAGGCUUUGACGGGUAGCCGGCCUGAGAGGGUGACCGGCCACAUUGGGACUGAGAUACGGCCCAGACUCCUACGGGAGGCAGCAGUGGGGAAUAUUGCACAAUGGGCGGAAGCCUGAUGCAGCAACGCCGCGUGCGGGAUGACGGCCUUCGGGUUGUAAACCGCUUUCGCCUGUGCCGAAGCGUGAGUGACGGUAAUGGGUAAAGAAGCACCGGCUAACUACGUG
rnacentral:rRNA from 1 species